UUGUCUCAACAAAAAUAGUUUCAAACACCACAUUCCUCUACAAAAAAUAGAUUAGUAUAUAAAACUGCUUACCACAGUUAAGGGUAAGGAAAUUUUGAGUGGACAUAUCUGAUUCCAGUAGUAAAAGGGUUUAUAUAUAAAAAAUUGUAGGGUGUCAU